UGAUACAGGAAUUUUAUGAUUUAACCAAACCUAGAGAUUAUUAUUAUUUAUCCAACCAACUUAUUAUUAUACAUUAAUAUAUAAAAUGUCAAAAAAAGAAUCUUUAAAGACACUUGAUCAAGAAGAAAUCAGAGUGGUGAUCGCUGAUCCUCCAAAAGCAGCCACCCUUGAGGGCUCUAAAGGAUGGCUUUCUCAUGGCUUUAAAGGAUGGCUUUCUCGUGCCUUUCUAUUGUUGGCUGGUGCAGCUGUGGUUGUGGUGUUUGCUGUGCUGCUGAUUUGGAAGGAAGAGGAAAGCCUAAAUCUCAAGAACUUAACAUCUCAGCUAAACAACAUAUGCAAUGUUGCCCUUUGCCUUCUAACACUUUUAGAACCUUUACCUUCUCUUCUCUUUCUAUUGUUGGCUGGUGCAGCUGUGCUUGUGGUGUUUGCUGUGCUGCUGAUUUGGAAGGAAGGGAAAAGUCUAAAC